GUAGCGAAAGUGUUAAGUGCUCCGCCUGGGGAGUAUGGUCGCAAGGCUNAAACUCAAAGGAAUUGACGGGGGCUCACACAAGCGGUGGAGGAUGUGGCUUAAUUCGAGGCUACGCGAAGAACCUUAUCCUAGAUUUGACAUGCACGGAUGUUGCCGGUGAAAGUCGGUUAAUUGCCUUCGGGUGAAACGUGCACAGGUGCUGCAUGGCUGUCGUCAGCUCGUGUCGUGAGAUGUCGGGUUAAGUCCCUUAACGAGCGAAACCCUUGUCACUAGUUGCCAACGCGUAAUGGCGGGGACUCUAGUGAGACUGCCGGUGUUAAACCGGAGGAAGGUGGGGAUGACGUCAAGUCCUCAUGGCCUUUAUGUCUAGGGCUGCACACGUCCUACAAUGCGGCGAACAAAGGGAAGCGAACUCGCGAGAGCAAGCAAAUCCCAGAAAACGUCGCUCAGUUCGGAUUGCAGGCUGCAACUCGCCUGCAUGAAGCCGGAAUCGCUAGUAAUCGCGGAUCAGCAUGCCGCGGUGAAUAUGUUCCUGAGCCUUGUACACACCGCCCGUCAAGCCACGAAAGCCGGGGGGGCCCGUAGUCGCUGAGCUAACUCGCAAG
rnacentral:rRNA from 1 species